UACCACCAGGAACACCGAUUGCGAAAGCAGCUUACCAAACCAGCACUGACGCUGAAGCACGAAAGCGUGGGUAGCGAACAGGAUUAGAUACCCUGGUAGUCCACGCAGUAAACGAUGCUCACUCGCUGUUGGCAAUAGAUCGUCAGCGGCUAAGGGAAACCGAUAAGUGAGCCACCUGGGGAGUACGAUCGCAAGAUUGAAACUCAAAGGAAUUGACGGGGGCCCGCACAAGCGGUGGAACAUGUGGUUUAAUUCGAUGAUACGCGAGGAACCUUACCUGGGCUUAAAUGUACGAUGCAUAAGUGUGAAAGCACUUUUUCCUUCGGGACUUUGUACGAGGUGCUGCAUGGUUGUCGUCAGCUCGUGUCGUGAGAUGUUGGGUUAAGUCCCGCAACGAGCGCAACCCUUACCCCUUGUUGCCAUCAGGUAAUGCUGAGCACUCUAGGGGAACUGUCGGUGAUAAACCGGAGGAAGGUGGGGAUGACGUCAAAUCAUCACGGCCCUUAUGUCCAGGGCUACACACGUGCUACAAUGGCCGGUACAAUGAGUUGCGAGACCGCGAGGUGGAGCUAAUCUCAAAAAACCGGUCUCAGUUCGGAUUGCAGUCUGCAACUCGACUGCAUGAAGCUGGAAUCGCUAGUAAUCGCGGAUCAGCACGCCGCGGUGAAUACGUUCCCGGGCCUUGUACACACCGCCCGUCACACCACCCGAGUUGCAGCACCCGAAGUGGCUGAUCUAAC
rnacentral:rRNA from 1 species